UACUAGUUUUUGCCUUUUAUC
rnacentral:siRNA from 1 species